rnacentral:rRNA from 1 species
GCUUACAGCCGCACCAGUGUGAAUGCGCUCGUCUGAUCUCGGAAGCUAAACACGCUCGGGCUCGGCCAGUACUUGGAUGGGAGACUGCCUGGGAAUCCCGAGUGCUGUAAGCA